AGGGANUCCUCCGCAAUGGACGAAAGUCUGACGGAGCAACGCCGCUGAGUGAUGAAGGUNUUNGGAUNGUANANCUCUGUUGUUAGGGAAGAACAAGUGCGAGAGUAACUGCUCGCACCUUGACGGUACCUAACCAGAAAGCCACGGCUAACUACGUGCCAGCAGCCGCGGUAAUACGUAGGUGGCAGCGUUGUCCGGAAUUAUUGGGCGUAAAGGGCUCGCAGGCGGUUUCUUAAGUCUGAUGUGAAAGCCCCCGGCUCAACCGGGGAGGGUCAUUGGAAACUGGGAAACUUGAGUGCAGAAGAGGAGAGUGGAAUUCCACGUGUAGCGGUGAAAUGCGUAGAGAUGUGGAGGAACACCAGUGGCGAAGGCGACUCUCUGGUCUGUAACUGACGCUGAGGAGCGAAAGCGUGGGGAGCGAACAGGAUUAGAUACCCUGGUAGUCCACGCCGUAAACGAUGAGUGCUAAGUGUUAGGGGGUUUCCGCCCCUUAGUGCUGCAGCUAACGCAUUAAGCACUCCGCCUGGGGAGUACGGUCGCAAGACUGAAACUCAAAGGAAUUGACGGGGGCCCGCACAAGCGGUGGAGCAUGUGGUUUAAUUCGAAGCAACGCGAAGAACCUUACCAGGUCUUGACAUCCUCUGACAACCCUAGAGAUAGGGCUUUCCCUUCGGGGACAGAGUGACA
rnacentral:rRNA from 1 species